AAUAUAUUAAAAUUUAAGUAAAAUCAAUAGUUUAGUUGAUAGAUAUUGAGGUUCUAAAUCAUUCUAGGAUUAGGUUGAAUUGGUUAGGUUUUGAUUAGGUUUUAGUUUAUGAUUAGGAUUGACUUAGGAUUUAGGAUUUGAUUAAGAUUUGAUUAGGAUUUAAAAAUAGACUAGGAUUUUGGGAUUUAAUUAGGAUUUUUUUAGGAUUUAGGAUUUAGGAUUUGGCCCAAAGAUUAAUUGAAGUCUAUUAGGAUUUCAACUAGGAUUAAAUUAGGACUUGAAUGAGAUUUAAUUAAGAUAUAUUUGUGAUUAUUCUAAUAUUUUUAUAGGAUUUUUUAAAGAUUCUUUUAAGGUUUAUUAUAGAUUUUUUUUUGGACUCUUUUAAGAUUUUUUAUUGUUUCUUUUGUAAUUUCUUUAAGAUUUCUUUUGAAU
rnacentral:lncRNA from 1 species